rnacentral:lncRNA from 11 species
CAAAAGCAGAAGUGUGGUUAUAAAGUGCCAUCUAAAAGGCGUAAGCAUUGAGUGUGGGCUUCCUAGAAUUAUCUCUGUGUUUGUUUGUUUGUUUGUUUGGUGUGUAUCUGUUAAUGUAGGUGUGCAUAUUAUUGGUGUGUUGUAUGUUGUGAGUGUGCAUGUUGUGGUAUACUGUGCCUUUAAGCCACACUCUCUGGUUGUUACAGCUGUAAUGUAAGAACUACUGAUUGCUGGGAUAUAUAGCUUUUGUGCACCCAAAGCCUCAGUAGCCUUCCUAAUGUUUGGAAUAAACUCUUUCCUACAAGACUCUGCUGGCUGUUGAGCUUCCUUCAUACGAAGAAUAUUACAUGGUGUCAGAAGUGGGAUACAAACCUCUCCUGUGCUACAACCUGGAAGCUAGCGUCCCCCGAAAAAGGAGUGUUUAGACAUGGAGUCAUUUCGUCCUCCUCCUCCCCUUGCUAUGCAAGGUAAUUUGGCUGAGAACUGGAGACGGUGGGAACAGGCCUUUCAGUUGUAUCUUGCUGCAGCGGGACUUGAGAAUGUGUCAAAGAAGCGGCAGAUAGCUAUCCUGCUACAUUGUGUGGGAGAGGAAGGAGUUUCUUUAUAUAAUACAUUUGUUUUUGCCGAGGAGAACCCGAAAGAUAUUGCAGAGGUUCUGGAACAGUUUAGGACUUAUUUUUUACCUCGGAAGAACAAUGUGUUUGAAAGGUUUUGUUUCUGGAACCAUAUGCAGAGUCCUGGAGUUACAAAUGUGCAAUUUAUUGCUGAGCUAAAACUGAAAGCAGCCAGCUGUGAAUUUGGAAUGGCAGUUAAUGAGAUGAUAAGAGAUAAAGUUGUUUUUAGUUUACAGCAAGAGAAACUGAAACAAAAUUUGUUACAAGAAGCCGAUCUUACACUUGAGAAGGCCGUGGAGAUAUGCCGGGUUGAUGAGACAACGAGAGCUCAGCUGAGAACCAUGGCAAUAACAUCGGAAGAAGGAGUGUUUGAAUUACAAGACAGCCAUGGAGAAAACAAAGAGAUUAUAACUCAAGCUCUGGGAACCAGGGAGUCAAGACACAGAGACAAUUGGAAAAAUCAGAAUAAGUGUGGUUAUUGUGGUACAGCUCAUGAACCUCGGAGAUGUCCAGCAUUUGGAAAGACCUGCAACAAGUGUGGCAAGAAAAAUCAUUAUGCCAGGUUAUGCAGGUCAAGGGUGACCAAUCCUGUGAAUAUACAAGCCAGACAACACAUUCAUGAGUUGAAUGAUUCCUAUUAACGUGCGUCAAGAUCUACAAAGAGCUCAGGAAAGACAGAAACAUUUUUAUGAUCGAACAGCAAGACCCCUCAAACCACUAAGAGAGGGAGAUUUGGUAUGGAUGCAAUCCAAUAAUUGCAAAGAAAGAUGGCUUCCUGCCGUUGUGAUAGAAAAAUGUAAACAGCCUCGGUCAUAUCUAAUAAAGAAUCAGGACGGUCGCGUAUAUCGGCGUAAUAGGCGUCAAUUAAAACAACGGAACCAAACACCCGAAACUACAAUUCAAGGAAAUACAACAUAUAAUGGUUCUAAAGGGAUGUUUGUGAACAAAAGUGACGCACAUGUAAUAGCAGAUAGAAAGCCAACGUAUGUGACAUCGCAUGGCAGGCCUGUGUUUGAACCGGUAAGGUACACUCCUUAGAAGGAUGGUGCUGAAGACCAUCCUCAACGGUGGGCUAAGUACUAGUGACCUCUGGCCCCAUAGAAGACAUAUUUUCUUACCUGUCUAGUGAUGUAAUGAAGCUGCCAAGUUUUAAUGAGAGACUUUUGUAAUUUUGAUGUAUGAUUUUUUUUAACACUUUUAUAAAAUGUAUUUUGUUUUGUCUUGUCAGAUGUGUAGUUAUUAUGUAUGAAAGGGAGAUGUGGUAUACUGUGCCUUUAAGCCACACUCUCUGGUUGUUACAGCUGUAAUGUAAGAACUACUGAUUGCUGGGAUAUAUAGCUUUUGUGCACCCAAAGCCUCAGUAGCCUUCCUAAUGUUUGGAAUAAACUCUUUCCUACAAGACUCUGCUGGCUGUUGAGCUUCCUUCAUACGAAGAAUAUUAC